rnacentral:rRNA from 1 species
AGCGAACGCUGGCGGCAGGCCUAACACAUGCAAGUCGAACGAACCUUUCGGGGUUAGUGGCGGACGGGUGAGUAACACGUGUGAACGUGCCUUUAGGUUCGGAAUAACUCAGGGAAACUUGUGCUAAUACCGAAUGUGCCCUUCGGGGGAAAGAUUAAUCGCCUUUAGAGCGGCCCGCGUCUGAUUAGCUAGUUGGUUGAGGUAAUGGCUCACCAAGGCGACGAUCAGUAGCUGGUCUGAGAGGAUGAUCAGCCACAUUGGGACUGAGACACGGCCCAAACUCCUACGGGAGGCAGCAGUGGGGAAUCUUGCGCAAUGGGCGAAAGCCUGACGCAGCCAUGCCGCGUGAAUGAUGAAGGUCUUAGGAUUGUAAAAUUCUUUCACCGGGGACGAUAAUGACGGUACCCGGAGAAGAAGCCCCGGCUAACUUCGUG